AUCAAGUGUUCUAAUUUACUCCUCAAAAAAGGAAGUGUGGUAGAAUUGAACACUAAUUAAACUGCAUCAGCCGAAGGAUAAUGAGGACAACGUCUAAGUAGAUUCAUUCCCGCGCCCUUUCAAAACAGCCAAACAUUGCGAAGCUGGAAUUCUGGAAUCGUUGAAAAUCGCUAGCUUGAUGGGGCUAGGUGAGGGAUAACGAGUAUUGCCGAUGCUAUCGACAGAUUUCCUUCGCUAUAGCGGCCGCACAAAACGUUCCAGGGCAUAAUGCAGCACCACCCGCCUAAUACAAAUGUAAUUGGUUUGCUAACGGAUAUGAAAGGCAAACAGGGCAAACACUAAGGACUGGAGAUGAACAUAAAACCAACUCUUUGAAAGCGAGAUGUAAACUGGGGACUUGGGGGAUAAAGGAUUAGCUUGGAUGGAUGGGCAGCAGUUCAAUUGUAAUCGUCACCGGGCAAACUAAUAAAUGUACGAAGCACCUGUAUGUUGAAAUAUACAAUAUUUUCUGGUUCAUAAUUAAAUACAGAGAACACUACAACAUACAUUGCGAAUUUCGAUUUAUUAACUAGCAAACAUUUAUACAUCGCGGAUUUGAGCAAAACAGAUUUAGCGGGUUUCGGAAAUGAUGGACGCUUCCCCUUAUGGCUCUGUCAAUUGGUCAAUUUUGCUUGAUGUAGCACCAUCGUUUUCGUUUUUGGAGCAGUGGUAGUGCCGG